AUACGUAGGUGGCAAGCGUUGUCCGGAAUUAUUGGGCGUAAAGCGCGCGCAGGCGGUCCUUUAAGUCUGAUGUGAAAGCCCACGGCUCAACCGUGGAGGGUCAUUGGAAACUGGGGGACUUGAGUGCAGAAGAGGAAAGUGGAAUUCCAAGUGUAGCGGUGAAAUGCGUAGAGAUUUGGAGGAACACCAGUGGCGAAGGCGACUUUCUGGUCUGUAACUGACGCUGAGGCGCGAAAGCGUGGGGAGCAAACAGGAUUAGAUACCCUGGUAGUCCACGCUGUAAACGAUGAGUGCUAAGUGUUAGGGGGUUUCCGCCCCUUAGUGCUGCAGCUAACGCAUUAAGCACUCCGCCUGGGGAGUACGGUCGCAAGACUGAAACUCAAAGGAAUUGGCGGGG
rnacentral:rRNA from 1 species